rnacentral:tRNA from 1 species
GCCUAGCUGGCUCAGUUGGUGGAGCGUGUGACUCUUGAUCUUGUGGAUCGUGAGUUUGAGCCCCACGUUGGGUG